GCGGUGUGCUUUCUGUUUAUCACUCUUCUAGAGUCCGCUGAUGUGAAGUGUGGUGUCUUGCGAGUUCCGACUCCAAGUCUGCUAUAUCUCUGCGUCGGUUUACUUAUCUUUUAUGCUGUCCGGCUGUAGAGCUACAGAAAGUUCAAGUAGCCAAAUCGGCGCCAGUGUCACACCCCGCCCCUUCUGCUCCUUCGCCGUUUUGGCUGCUCGACUGAUCGAUUUUCUUUUUUCAGUAUACUAUCUCGUAAUGUCAUCAAUUCCGCAAGGGGCUUUUGCUGCUUUUAAGGUACGCCAGGGAAUUGACGAUAAACCAGCUGGCUUCCAGAGGUACAAGGAGGAUAAACAGGGCAUGCCUUACCCACCUGUCAAUAAAAAACUGGUGGAGCAAUCUCCUCUCAAAUACAACAGUAAGAUGAUGAACAGCAUCUGGGGCCAGUACAACCGCUAUUCUGUCCACAACAUGAAGAAGAACACCGAUGCCAAAGAGGUUCUGCUUUGGGCGGAGCAGCGGCUGUCAGUACUUCUUCAGUCUUUUUGAAGGCUACCGCUACUCCCCCUGCUUAUCAUGUCCCAGGAUUCACCCCAAACUUCUUCAACUGAAUUUGCUGAUGUUAUGAGGCAAGUGGCCAUCAUGUAGUCAACAUUAGGGGGAAUUAUGGGGCAUUGAAGACGUUGAGAUAUUAUUAUACUGUCAAUGUUUUCUACUAAAUAAAAUGUGAUAUGAUA